rnacentral:rRNA from 1 species
UACGUAGGGUGCGAGCGUUAAUCGGAAUUACUGGGCGUAAAGUGUGCGCAGGCGGCCGCGCAAGUCGAGUGUGAAAGCCCCCGAGCUUAACUUGGGAAUUGCGCUCGAAACUACGUGGCUGGAGUGUGGCAGAGGAAGGUGGAAUUCCACGUGUAGCGGUGAAAUGCGUAGAGAUGUGGAGGAAUACCGAUGGCGAAGGCAGCCCCCUGGGUCAAUACUCGACGCUCUGCACGAAAGCGUGGGGGAGCAAACAGG